rnacentral:rRNA from 1 species
UGGGGGAUAUUGCACAAUGGGCGAAAGCCUGAUGCAGCGACGCCGCGUGGGGGAUGAAGGCUUUCGGGUUGUAAACCUCUUUCGCUAUCGAACAAGGCCCGCUUAGGGUGGGUUGAGGGUAGGUGGAGAAGAAGCGCCGGCUAACUACGUGCCAGCAGCCGCGGUAAUACGUAGGGCGCGAGCGUUGUCCGGAAUUAUUGGGCGUAAAGGGCUUGUAGGCGGCUUGUUGCGCCUGCUGUGAAAACGCGGGGCUUAACUUCGCUCGUGCAGUGGGUACGGGCAGGCUUGAGUGUGGUAGGGGUGACUGGAAUUCCAGGUGUAGCGGUGGAAUGCGCAGAUAUCUGGAGGAACACCGAUGGCGAAGGCAGGUCACUGGGCCAUUACUGACGCUGAGGAGCGAAAGCAUGGGUAGCGAACAGG